AAUGUAGCUAAUUCUCUAACGUUGUUUUAGUUGGCAGUCGUGCUGCAAAAUGCAGGAAAUGAUCCGUCCGGAGCCGUAAUGCCAGCAUAUACAUCCGUAACAAAGCGAAAGCGUCGAAAUACUAACUGCUGUAGCUAAUGCAUGCAUAUCAUUCGAAUGUCUCGCUGCCGCCCGGAUUCGCAGGACAUACUCGAAACCUGUGCCAUCCAGUUUCCGACAUUUGAGCUUUGGUCCUUCCAGAAAGAGGGCAUGGGCGACCGUGAUCAGCUCCUGGCAGCUGCACUGCUGGUACGGAAUAUGGUUGUGCUUGUCUCAAUGUGGAUUUGCCACCAUUGGUGGUACUGUGGGUGUCAUAAGGCUCAUGAAAGAGGUGUACCCAAGUGAUGAGAAUGAGAGAUUACUUUGCUCUUUAUACUGGGUAGAGCAGUGCUGGUGAACCUGUGAAGUCUUCUUGGAAAUCUGUUACAGGACAUUUUUGGCUGGGCUAUGAAAUACUACUUGGAGAAACUGGUUUGGGUCAAAUUCGGAGUUCAGGAAACUUUGCAGUUCAUGUCAGUUAUGUUAUUGGCAUUUAAACAAAUUUUUUAAUCAGUCUACUAGACUUUUCACUCAUUUGAUGGUUUGCCUAAUUGUUAGUCUGGGGAUGUGUAGUAAGAAAGUUUCAUUAAAUUACGCUGGCGGUCAAAACUACAGUGUGGUGAGUGCUGUUUAAGACAGUGUCACAGGCAAGAUGUGUAAUAUGCUGUGUGGAAAGGCAAACUAAUACACUUUAAGAAAAAACCCAUAUACUGAAACACAUGGCCUUGGUGCUGGACAGUGUCUGGGAACAGUCUUUUGGCAGUUUGUUCAAAUCUGUUUUGGUGUCCGAAUGUGGGAGGCAUGCAACCCUUUCAGAAAUCUGUGUACUGUGGCCUGAGCCUAAUAACAUUCCUGUGCAUAACUAAAUUACUCCUAACAGUCCUCGUGUGCAUCCUAUUGUGGACAUUGCGUGGCUUGCCAGUGCAGUUAUUGACAGCUACCAGUACACAGCUGUGGAAAUGGUACACAGUGCUUUCCUCAAGCAGAAUGGAUUCCACUGGGAGAGCUGAUGCAAGAUUAUGUGGAAUAUUUUCCAAAUAUGUUCCCCACAUCACUGCAUGUUCGCAGCUAUACACACAUCUGAGUUGCACACAGGCAUUUUCUGCCAUAGGGGGAUACACUGUACAGUAAAGUAGUUGUACUUAUGCUUGGUACUUGCAAAUGCUAUCCUCAGGCUACUGUUUUUUGUGGUAGCUGCCGAAACAUGAGGGGAUCAUUCUUACUUGACCAGCAGUGAGUUACAGUGGUUUGAUUUGUGGAUGAAUGCACAUUUACUAGACACAUUGUUAACUUUUGGGAGAUCAUAAUCUUUGUGCAAGGUUGGUAUUAACAGCUGGCCUGAGACCAUUUCUUCCACCAGACUAAUGGGACUGAUCUAUUUCACAUUUAUAAAAGGUAUUUUGCUUAUCCUGUAGGGUGUAGCACCAGUAAAUGUUUGGAUGGACAUGUUGCUGCAAUAUGACUGAACUACAGUUGAUGUGCAGAAUGAAAAGUGUCACGUAUCCCAAUCAGUGGGUUGCUAUAAGGUUCAGCACUGCUGAAGUAUGAAGUGCAUUGAUGUAGGAAGAACACAAUUGAAGCCCAUUUGUAAUGUAAUUGGCACUGUGUGCUGGUCCUGUUGGAUUUAUUUAAUGUGGAAUGCACUUCAGUGCCCACACUCUGUGUUGGUAUACGAUUCAGUGUCUAAAACUGCUCAGUGUACCAUACAAAACAUUCAGUUUUUGUGAUACCAUGUGUAAUGUUAAAUGUGCUAGUGGUUUGCAACUACUGAAAGAGUAUUAAAAGAGUUGGACAACAGAUUUGAACAUUUUGCAGUUAGUCAAAUUGUGUAGUGUAAUGUCUAGGUUGCUUUGAAUAUACAGAUCAGGUGCGCAUGGUAUUGAGUGUAGCAGGUUGGAAAGAUGUUUUGAUAAAUUGGCAUGAACUGUGAAGUUUACCAUUGCUUGCAUCCAGUGGGACUGUAAAUUCUGAAAUGGAUUCGGAGGUGCAUGUUGGAGUAUGCUUGGCGCAUAUUGGGGUUUGUGCUGUCUCUUAAGGUGUCUGCGCUUUCAGGUAUGUAAUUAAAACUCCCAGUUGUGCUUCCAGAUGUUAUUUGCUGUUAAUGAUGAACAACAAACACUGCCCUAGUCAAUCUGAAGAAAUGAUGUUGAAAGAUUCUGAUAUCAUUAAAUUUUCUUUUCAUUUGAUGAUGAUACAGGAAU